UUUUUAUCCUACAUUGUAAUUAGGCCAUAAAAUGUGAACGUAUAUAAUGUUUUGGGAGUAGGUAAGAAAACAUAACGACACAGCUUCGACCGGAGCUAUGGCAUCAGGUUCUAACACAUUGCCAUAUGGGUUCCAGCCACCUUCAGGAAGUUAUGUAUUCGAUAAUCUUACCGCCGACCUCUCUCAAGCAAUAUCAGAACAGGAACUGGACAAUCUCAAACAACGCUUUGAAGAUGUGCAACAUGUACGGACUCCAAGAGAAAUGUUUGUCUCUCUGAGAGACAUGGGAUUCAUAAAUAAAUACAACAUACUGUAUAUCCAGCAAAUUGUUCGUGUUCUGAA